GGGCCUGUAGCUUAGCGGUCAAAGCAGCGGACUCAUAAUCCGUUGACCGUGGGUUCGAAUCCCACCGGGCCCACCA
rnacentral:tRNA from 2 species